UACGUAGGGUGCAAGCGCUAAUCGGAAUUACUGGGCGUAAAGCGUGCGCAGGCGGUUUUGUAAGUCUGACGUGAAAUCCCCGGGCUCAACCUGGGAAUUGCGUUGGAGACUGCAAGGCUGGAGUCUGGCAGAGGGGGGUAGAAUUCCACGUGUAGCAGUGAAAUGCGUAGAGAUGUGGAGGAAUACCGAUGGCGAAGGCAGCCCCCUGGGCUAACACUGACGCUCAUGCACGAAAGCGUGGGGAGCAAACAGG
rnacentral:rRNA from 1 species